rnacentral:rRNA from 1 species
UACGGAAGGGGCAAGCGUUGUUCGGAAUCAUUGGGCGUAAAGGGCGCGUAGGUGGUUCUGUAUGUCUACCGUGAAAACUCGAGGCUCAACCUCGAGACGCCGGUGGAAACCGUAAGGCUAGAGUCCGGAAGAGGAGAGUGGAAUUCCUGGUGUAGCGGUGAAAUGCGCAGAUAUCAGGAAGAACAUCGGUGGCGAAGGCGCUCUGCUGGACCAUAACUGACACUCAGGGACGAAAGCUAGGGGAGCGAAUGGG